rnacentral:lncRNA from 1 species
AGCUACUCUUUUAUGAAUGCGGGAACACAAUUCCAACAUUUAACACAUUAGGAUAACACAAUAUCCUAUUACUCAGUUCAUAAUUAUUCACAUGAUAAAUAUCUCUAACACAUUAGGAUAACACAAUAUCCUAUCACUCAAAUCAUAAUUAUUCACAUGAUAAUUAUCUGCAUAACCAUUUUUAUACACAUAAGGUUUCAUUUACACUUAUGUCAUAAAACACACAUCAUUUCCUUAACAUUGCAAAUUAAUGCUAAAACAUCUCAUUGCUCACUUUAAGCUAUAACUUAUUGCAUACACGUUUAUUAAUCAUAUAACGAUUAACAAUAAGCAUUAACAACAUCAACAUGUAUCAACAAACAUGUAAGGAUACCCUUAAACCAUGUUACAAGUGCCUAAUUACACUUACAAACAUCAACAAAAAUUGCUGUCACAGAGGCCUUCGCUAAGCGAAG